rnacentral:ncRNA from 1 species
GAAUUUUGAUUAACGCUCGGUUUCGGCCGAGCCAACUGGAAG